rnacentral:rRNA from 1 species
AUGGCGAAAUUUAAUGUUGAUGGAGCAGUUGCGCAUAACAGACAUGGAGGUGCAGUCGCGGCAGUGUGCCGUGAUCAUACUGGGCUGUAUCUAGGUUCAUCGGCUGUGGUGUACCAAGGGGCCAGCGAUCCAGUGAUCUUGCAGACUUACGCAUGUAGGGAAGCGCUGGUUCUAGCAGAAGACUUACACAUACAACAUUUGAAGGUGGCGUCAGACUGCCUGGUUGUGGUGAAUGAUAUAAACCAGGGGAUAGGAGGUUCCCAUUCGGCCAUCGUACAUGAAAUAACGAGACGUAGAGCUAGCUUUACUUUCUGUUCUUCCGUUCAUGAACGUAGGAAUCAUAACUUUGAGGCUCAUAAUCUCGCCAAGUUUGCUUGUAAUCUCGGCAUAGGUAGACAUGUUUGGUUGGGCUUCCCUCAUGACCUAAAUCUUGUACACCUAUGA